AAGUCGUAACAAGGUUUCCGUAGGUGAACCUGCGGAAGGAUCAUUAACACGUAUCCAACGUUAAACCCCCCGUGAACCUUCAGUGCGCUCGCACUUUCUUAGAAAAGGUAGCAAUCCCGGGACUUCUGCGUAGACUGUGCUUGAGCGUGAGGCAAGUGGCCUGGCAUUCCUCUGCUUGUUGGUGUCUGAAAGUGUCACCAGCUCUGUACGAAUGGCGCAGUCACGAUCGCUAGAGGCCGACACGGCCGGCGACCGGGUCACUGGGCGCGAGCCCCCCUCGUCACCUUUGCAUGAAAACGGGCCUGCGCUUAAUUGUGCGGCCACCAAACUCGAACAACUGUUAACAAUGGAUAUCUUGGUUCUC
rnacentral:misc_RNA from 1 species